CCAGACUCCUACGGGAGGCAGCAGUGAGGAAUAUUGGUCAAUGGGCGGGAGCCUGAACCAGCCAAGUCGCGUGAGGGAAGACGGUCCUACGGAUUGUAAACCUCUUUUGCCGGGGAGCAACGGGGUCCUUGCGAGGGCCCGAUGAGAGUACCCGGAGAAAAAGCAUCGGCUAACUCCGUGCCGGCAGCCGCGGUAAUACGGAGGAUGCGAGCGUUAUCCGGAUUUAUUGGGUUUAAAGGGUGCGUAGGCGGACGCUUAAGUCAGCGGUAAAAUUGCGGGGCUCAACCUCGUCGAGCCGUUGAAACUGGCGUUCUUGAGUGGGCGAGAAGUAUGCGGAAUGCGUGGUGUAGCGGUGAAAUGCAUAGAUAUCACGCAGAACCCCGAUUGCGAAGGCAGCAUGCCGGCUUCCGACUGACGCUGAAGCACGAAAGCGUGGGGAUCGAACAGGAUUAGAUACCCGUGUA
rnacentral:rRNA from 1 species